rnacentral:lncRNA from 1 species
AAUGGUUAGCCACCUGUUUAGUGACCCACUAUUUGACAAGUAGUGACCUGCUCCGUUUGGUAAGUAAAAAAAUUUUAUUAGUGAGCAACUAUUUGUAUUAGUGACCCCCUACUUGGUAAGUAAAAUUUGUUUUGUUAGUGACCAAAUUGCAUCGCAUGGACUCUAGAGUCUCUUCUGUAUAUUAGUGACCACAUAAUCAAAAAGGAAUUUAUUCCUAAACGCGGGAGCGGUUAUUGAAAUAAAAAAUAAUAAUUGAACGGUCAAAUUUUAUCUCGACUCCCUCGCUCCACCAAAAGCGUAGGGCAAAAUUGAUCCGUGUUAUUUCUUCCCUAGAACUUUGGUUCCUCAACUUCUCUCUCUAUUCCAAAUACCACAACCCUAAGAGCAUCUCCAACAGCUUCCCCAAAUUCUUAAAAUUCUCCAAUUUGGAGAAGAUUUUAGGUGUUUUGUUCCAACAGAUUCCCUAAAACUUUCUCCAAAAUGGGGAAUAUGAUGAAAGAGAAACUUAAAUUCCCCAAAUCUGCAGCAUUCUCCAAAUUUUAUAGAAGGAUUUGGGGAAUCAUCUUGAAAUCUCUAAAAUAGAGAAUUUGUUGGAGUUGUAGAAGAAAAAUUGCUUGAAGCAUUGACUUUUGCUUCCCUAUAAUAGAGAAAUUAUAGAGAAGCUGUUGGAGAUGCUCUAAUUCUCUUCAAGUUUGCUUCGCCUACAUUUCAAUUAUUCAACCGUCAACAAAUUUGUUAGUUUCGCCGUGAGUAGUAGAGCUACUCCCCUUGUCUUCUGCAAACUCAACGCCGAUGACUUCUAUACCCUCUCAAGUCUCGCAGGUGUAGUUAACUAUUCUUUACUUCUGUUGUUAUUUUAUAAUUUUGAUUAGGAUUAGGCUGAUUAGCCAUAUGUGAAUUAGUUUCAAUGUCGUUAUUCUACCAAAACCAAUUGAUUUUGAGAGCGAUUCUAGUACUAACCGAAGUUGGAAAGAUUAUACCAUAUUACGGCUCUAGUGAUUGGAUUUUGGUGUUUGGUUGUUUGGGCAAGAUCGCCAUCAACCUUUUAAGGAUUAUUUCUUGCGUUUGUGUCAUAUUUUCGUGUUUUUGGGUGCUUCAUUGAUCCGUAAAAGUGUGUUUUUGUGUUGAUUUUAUUGUCUGUGUGGGUUCAUUUCAACAUCCACAAGUUGGUUUAGGGUUGUGGUGCUAAUUCAUUCUGUUUUUUUC